rnacentral:rRNA from 1 species
GAAUGCUGACAUAAGUAACGAUAAAGCGGGUGAAAAGCCCGCUCGCCGGAAGACCAAGGGUUCCUGUCCAACGUUAAUCGGGGCAGGGUGAGUCGACCCCUAAGGCGAGGCCGAAAGGCGUAGUCGAUGGGAAACAGGUUAAUAUUCCUGUACUUGGUGUUACUGCGAAGGGGGGACGGAGAAGGCUAUGUUGGCCGGGCGACGGUUGUCCCGGUUUAAGCGUGUAGGCUGGUUUUCCAGGCAAAUCCGGAAAAUCAAGGCUGAGGCGUGAUGACGAGGCACUACGGUGCUGAAGCAACAAAUGCCCUGCUUCCAGGAAAAGCCUCUAAGCAUCAGGUAACAUCAAAUCGUACCCCAAACCGACACAGGUGGUCAGGUAGAGAAUACCAAGGCGCUUGAGAGAACUCGGGUGAAGGAACUAGGCAAAAUGGUGCCGUAACUUCGGGAGAAGGCACGCUGAUAUGUAGGUGAAGCGACUUGCUCGUGGAGCUGAAAUCAGUCGAAGAUACCAGCUGGCUGCAACUGUUUAUUAAAAACACAGCACUGUGCAAACACGAAAGUGGACGUAUACGGUGUGACGCCUGCCCGGUGCCGGAAGGUUAAUUGAUGGGGUUAGCGGUAACGCGAAGCUCUUGAUCGAAGCCCCGGUAAACGGCGGCCGUAACUAUAACGGUCCUAAGGUAGCGAAAUUCCUUGUCGGGUAAGUUCCGACCUGCACGAAUGGCGUAAUGAUGGCCAGGCUGUCUCCACCCGAGACUCAGUGAAAUUGAACUCGCUGUGAAGAUGCAGUGUACCCGCGGCAAGACGGAAAGACCCCGUGAACCUUUACUAUAGCUUGACACUGAACAUUGAGCCUUGAUGUGUAGGAUAGGUGGGAGGCUUUGAAGUGUGGACGCCAGUCUGCAUGGAGCCGACCUUGAAAUACCACCCUUUAAUGUUUGAUGUUCUAACGUUGGCCCCUGAUCGGGGUUGCGGACAGUGUCUGGUGGGUAGUUUGACUGGGGCGGUCUCCUCCUAAAGAGUAACGGAGGAGCACGAAGGUUGGCUAAUCCUGGUCGGACAUCAGGAGGUUAGUGCAAUGGCAUAAGCCAGCUUGACUGCGAGCGUGACGGCGCGAGCAGGUGCGAAAGCAGGUCAUAGUGAUCCGGUGGUUCUGAAUGGAAGGGCCAUCGCUCAACGGAUAAAAGGUACUCCGGGGAUAACAGGCUGAUACCGCCCAAGAGUUCAUAUCGACGGCGGUGUUUGGCACCUCGAUGUCGGCUCAUCACAUCCUGGGGCUGAAGUAGGUCCCAAGGGUAUGGCUGUUCGCCAUUUAAAGUGGUACGCGAGCUGGGUUUAGAACGUCGUGAGACAGUUCGGUCCCUAUCUGCCGUGGGCGCUGGAGAACUGAGGGGGGCUGCUCCUAGUACGAGAGGACCGGAGUGGACGCAUCACUGGUGUUCGGGUUGUCAUGCCAAUGGCACUGCCCGGUAGCUAAAUGCGGAAGAGAUAAGUGCUGAAAGCAUCUAAGCACGAAACUUGCCCCGAGAUGAGUUCUCCCUGACUCCUUGAGAG